rnacentral:rRNA from 1 species
GAGUGGCGAACGGGUGAGUAAUACAUCGGAACGUGUCCAGUAGCGGGGGAUAACCUCUCGAAAGAGAGGCUAAUACCGCAUACGUCCUACGGGAGAAAGAGGGGGAUCGCAAGACCUCUCACUAUUGGAGCGGCCGAUGUCGGAUUAGCUAGUUGGUGAGGUAAAGGCUUACCAAGGCGACGAUCCGUAGCUGGUCUGAGAGGACGACCAGCCACACUGGAACUGAGACACGGUCCAGACUCCUACGGGAGGCAGCAGUGGGGAAUUUUGGACAAUGGGGGAAACCCUGAUCAGCCAUGCCGCGUGGGUGAAGAAGGCCUUCGGGUUGUAAAGCCCUUUCGGUGGGGACGAAACGGUGCGUGCCAACACCACGCACUAAUGACGGUACCCACAGAAGAAGCACCGGCUAACUACGUGCCAGCAGCCGCGGUAAUACGUACGGUGCAGGCGUUAACUCGGAAUUACUGGGCGUAAAGCGUGCGCAGGCGGUUUGCUAAGACAGGUGUGAAAUCCCCGAGCUUAACUUGGGAACUGCGCUUGUAACUGGCAAGCUAGAGUGUGGCAGAGGGGGGUGGAAUUCCACGUGUAGCAGUGAAAUGCGUAGAGAUGUGGAGGAACACCGAUGGCGAAGGCAGCCCCCUGGGCUAACACUGACGCUCAUGCACGAAAGCGUGGGGAGCAAACAGGAUUAGAUACCCUGGUAGUCCACGCCCUAAACUAUGUCAACUGGUUGUCGGGGCAGCAAUGCCUUGGUAACGAAGCUAACGCGUGAAGUUGACCGCCUGGGGAGUACGGCCGCAAGGGUUAAAACUCAAAGGAAUUGACGGGGACCCCGCACAAGCGGUGGAUUAUGUGGAUUAAUUCGAUGCAACGCGAAAAACCUUACCUACCCUUGACAUGUACGGAACCCUCCAGAGAUGGAGGGGUGCCCGAAAGGGAGCCGUAACACAGGUGCUGCAUGGCUGUCGUCAGCUCGUGUCGUGAGAUGCUGGGUUAAGUCCCGCAACGAGCGCAACCCUUGUCAUUAGUUGCCACAUUCAGUUGGGCACUCUAAUGAGACUGCCGGUGACAAACCGGAGGAAGGUGGGGAUGACGUCAAGUCCUCAUGGCCCUUAUGGGUAGGGCUUCACACGUAAUACAAUGGUCGGUACAGAGGGUUGCCAACCCGCGAGGGGGAGCUAAUCCCAGAAAGCCGAUCGUAGUCCGGAUUGUUCUCUGCAACUCGAGAGCAUGAAGCCGGAAUCGCUAGUAAUCGCGGAUCAGCAUGUCGCGGUGAAUACGUUCCCGGGUCUUGUACACACCGCCCGUCACACCAUGGGAGUGGGUUUCACCAGAAGUAGUUAGCCUAACC